GGAUGUGAGGGCGAUCUGGCUGCAACAUCUCUCAGCCCAUUAAUCACCAGGGUUGAUUUGGCUGAUCUGGCUGGCUAGGCAGGUGUCCCCUUCCUCCCUCACCACUCCACGUGCGUCCCUCCCAAAGCUGUGUGCUCGGCCGAAGAGGACGACCAUCCCCACUAGAGGAGGACCGGUCUUCGGUCAAGGGUAUACACGUAGCUGCGCUUCCCUGCUUGAACCUCCAAACAAGCUCUCAAACCUGCCAAAUGCCUGUGCUGCCUACUGUCUGCAGUUCCCCAACAUGGUGCACAAAGCUGUUCGCUCCAGGUCCUAG
ensembl:misc_RNA 7SK 7SK RNA